rnacentral:rRNA from 1 species
CCCUUAGAUGUUCUGGGCCGCACGCGCGCUACACUGACGAAUGCAACGAGCUUAUAACCUUGGCCGAAAGGUCUGGGUAAUCUCCAAAUUUCGUCGUGAUGGGGAUAGAUUAUUGCAAUUAUUAAUCUUCAACGAGGAAUGCCUAGUAAGCGCAAGUCAUCAGCUUGCGUUGAUUACGUCCCUGCCCUUUGUACACACCGCCCGUCGCUUCUACCGAUUGAAUGGUCCGGUGAAGCGUUCGGACCGUGGCCUUUGGACGGUUCGCCGUCUGUUGGCUGCGGGAAGUUCGUUAAACCUUAUCAUUUAGAGGAAGGAGAAGUCGUAACA